rnacentral:tRNA from 1 species
GGAUUUGUGGUCCAGUGGUAGAAUUCUCACCGCCUGCAUAGGAGACCCUGGUUUAAUUCCUGGCCAAUGCA